GUGCUUGCUUUGGCAGCACAUAUACUAAAAUUGGAAUGAUACAGAGAAGAUUAGCAUGGCCCUUGCGCAAGGAUGACAUGCAAAUUUUUGAAGUGUUCCACAUAUUA